rnacentral:rRNA from 1 species
GCUAGUAAAGUGGCGCACGGGUGAGUAACGCGUGGGUAAUCUGCCCUCAAAUCGGGGAUAACAUUGCGAAAGCGGUGCUAAUACCGGAUAAUAUCUAAUAAACCUCGGAUUAUAAGAUUAAAGAUGGUCUCUACAUGUAAGCUAUCGUUUGAGGAUGAGCCCGCGUACCAUUAGCUUGUUGGUAGGGUAACGGCCUACCAAGGCAACGAUGGUUAGCUGGUCUGAGAGGAUGAUCAGCCACACUGGAACUGACACACGGUCCAGACUCCUACGGGAGGCAGCAGUGAGGAAUUUUGCGCAAUGGGGGAAACCCUGACGCAGCAACGCCGCGUGAGUGAUGAAGGCCUUCGGGUCGUAAAGCUCUGUCAAGUGGGAAGAAACUACAAAAUGCCAACACCAUUUUGUACUGACGGUACCACUGAAGGAAGCACCGGCUGACUCCGUGCCAGCAGCCGCGGUAAUACGGGGGGUGCAAGCGUUAUUC